rnacentral:rRNA from 1 species
UGCAAGUCGAGGGGCAGCAUGAAUAUUGGCUUGCCAAURUUUGAUGGCGACCGGCGCACGGGUGAGUAACACGURUCCAACCUUCCGGUUACUCGGGGAUAGGCUUUCGAAAGAAAGAUUAAUACCCGAUGUUGUGUAUCUUUCUCCUGAAAGAUACGCCAAAGGAUUCCGGUAACCGAUGGGGAUGCGUUCCAUUAGGCAGUUGGCGGGGUAACGGCCCACCAAACCUUCGAUGGAUAGGGGUUCUGAGAGGAAGGUCCCCCACAUUGGAACUGAGACACGGUCCAAACUCCUACGGGAGGCAGCAGUGAGGAAUAUUGGUCAAUGGACGGAAGUCUGAACCAGCCAAGUAGCGUGAAGGAUGACUGCCCUCUGGGUUGUAAACUUCUUUUAUACGGGAAUAACAUGAGGUACGGGUACCUUAUUGCAUGUACCGUUAUGAAUAAGCAUCGGCUAACUCCGUGCCAGCAGCCGCGGUAAUACGGAGGAUGCGAGCGUUAUCCGGAUUUAUUGGGUUUAAAGGGAGCGUACGGUGGGAUAUUAACGUCAGCUGUGAAAGUUUGGGGCUCAACCUUAAAAUUGCWGUUGAUACUGGUUUUCUUGAGUCGGUAUAGGUGGGCGGAAUUCGUGGUGUAGCGGGUGAAAUGCUUAGAUAUCACAGAAGAACUCCUAUUGCUGAAGGCAGCUCACCGGGCCCGGCACUGACACUGAUGCUCAGAAAGUGCGGGUAUCAAACAGGAUUAGGAUACCCUGGUAGUCCGCACAGUAAACGAUGAAUACUCGCUGUUUGCGAUACACGGUAAGCGGACAAGCAGAAAGCGUUAAGUAUUCCACCUGGGGAGUACGCCGGCAACGUGUGAAACUCAAAGGAAUUGACGGGGCCCGCACANGCGGAGGACAUGUGGUUAAUUCGAUGAUACGCGAAGGAACCUUACCCGGGCUUAAAUUGCSCUGGCUUUUACCGGAAACGGUAUUUUCUUCGGACCAGCGUGAAGGUGCUGCAUGGUUGUCGUCAGCUCGUGCCGUGAGGUGUCGGCUUAAGUGCCAUAACGAGCGCAACCCUUAUCUUUAGUUGCCAUCAGGUUUUGCUGGGGACUCUAAAGAGACUGCCGUCGUAAGAUGCGAGGAAGGUGGGGAUGACGUCAAAUCAGCACGGCCCUUACGUCCGGGGCUACACACGUGUUACAAUGGGGAGCACAGCAGGUUGCUACACGGCGACGUGAUGCCAAUCCGUAAAACUCCUCUCAGUUCGGAUCGAAGUCUGCAACCCGACUUCGUGAAGCUGGAUUCGCUAGUAAUCGCGCAUCAGCCACGGCGCGGUGAAUACGUUCCCGGGCCUUGUACACACCGCCCGUCAAGCCAUGAAAGCCGGGGGUACCUGAAGUACGUAACCGCAAGGAUCGUCCUAGGGUAAACCUGGUGAUUGGGACGAAGUCGUAACAAGGUA